CUCUUCUUUGCUCAGUUGGUAGAGCGUCUGCCUUACAAGCAGAAUGUCGGCGGUUCGAUCCCGUCAGCGCCCACCA
rnacentral:tRNA from 1 species